rnacentral:lncRNA from 1 species
GCAUGUAUAGGGCACACAGACUUUUCAUCUGGGUCAUAUGUGUCAACCACUCAUUCUACCCAAUCAUCACUUAAAUAACAUAAAACAUAAAAUGAAUUAACUCGAAUAAAACUGAUAUGAUAUUCAUCUCAAAGAUUGGAAAGUACAUCAUAAUCAAAAUUAAUAAAAAUAACAAAAACAUCAAAACUAAAUUUAAAAUAAACGAAAAUAAAGAGAAAC